GGGCGUGAGAGCGAGAGACAGAGACGCAGAGACACGAUGGUUGAAUUGAGACGGAUUAAUACGACUUUAGUGGUGAUACUGCUGCUUCAGUUUACAGAAGGUCACAGAGGAGGAUCGUGGUCGUUACACCUGCAGACAGUUUCCAAAAUCAGGAGGAAAACAACAAGGUCCAGACUUUCAGGUUCUUCUGUCUGUUAUUGACAUGACUGAGAAUAAGGACAAUGAUUAUGUCACCUUGUUCUGCGCUGUGUGGAAAUACAAUGAGUGUCAGCACACAGUGAAGUGGGUGUACGAGGCUAAUCAGAGUGGCGUGGAGAUAAGACCAGCUCCCUGUUCAUCCAUAGUGACAUUUUCUUCUCAUCUUAAUCAAAAGUCGCUGAAGUGUAACGUGACAGUUACUAAGGACUGGAGAAACUCUGCUGUGUGAUGCUGGACCCCCAGAGUCCUCGUGUCAGAAAACGGGGUACAUUUGACUUUAUUAUUUUAUUACGUCUCAUUUGUUGUCUUCUGAUAUUAAGUUUGUUUGUAUCCUGUUGUGUUUGUUAUUUAAUUG